UCUGUGGGGUCACUGAGGCACAGAAUAUGGGAUCUGUAGGGAAACUGAGGCACAGCAUAUGGGAUCCAUGGGGCACAUGAGGCACAGCAUAUGGGAUCUGUGGGGAAACUGAGGCAGAGAAUAUGGGUUCUAUAGGGAAAUUGAGGCACAGUAUAUGGGGUCUAUGGGGAAACUGAGGCACAGCAUAUGGGAUCAGUGGGGAAAUUGAGGCACGGCAUAUGGGAUCAAUGGGGAAAGCGUAGCACAACAUAUGGGGUCUGUGGGGGAACUGAGGUAUGGUGUAUGGGGUCUGUGGGGCAACUGAGCUGCAGUGUAUGGGAUCAGUAGGGAAAUUGAGGCACAGCAUAUGGGAUCUAUAGGGAACUGAGGCACAGCAUAUGGGGUCUAUGGGGGAAACUGAGCCACAGUGUAUAGGAUCUGUAGGGAAACUGAGGCACAGCAUAUGGGAUCCAUGGGGCACAGUGUAUGGGAUCUAUGGGGGAACUUAGAUACAGCAUAUGGGGUCUAUGGGGAACUGAGGCACAGUAUAUGGGAUCUGUGGGAACACUGAGGGACAGAAUAUGGGAUCAGUGAGGAAACCGAGGCAUGGCAUAUGGGAUCUAUGGGGGAAACUGAGGGACAGAAUAUGGGAUCAAUGGGGGAACUGAGGGACAGCAUGUGGGAUCUAUGGGGGAACUGAGGCACAACAUAUGGGAUCUGUGGGGGAAACUGAGGCACAGAAUAUGGGGUCAGUGGGGAAACAGGCACAGAAUAUGGGAUCUAUGGGGGAACUGAGGCACAGAAUAUGGGAUCUGUGGGGAACUGAGCCACAGCAUAUGGGAUCUAUGGGGGAACUGAGGGACAGAAUAUGAGAUCUAUGGGGGAAACUGAGGCACAGCGUGUGGGAUCUAUGGGGAAACAGGCACAGAAUAUGGGAUUUAUGGGGAGCUGAGCCACUGUGUAUAGGAUCAGUAGGGAAACUGAGGCACAGCAUAUGGGAUCUAUGGGGAAACUGAGGCACAGAAUAUGGGAUCUAUGGGGGAACUGAGGGACAGCAUAUGGGAUCUAUGGGGGAACUGAGGGACAGAAUAUGGGAUCUGUAGGGAAACUGAGGGACGGCAUGUGGGAUCUAUGGGGGAACUGAGGCACAGCAUAUGGGAUCUGUGGGGGAAACUGAGGCACAGAAUAUGGGGUCAGUGGGGAAACAGGCACAGAAUAUGGGAUCUAUGGGGGAACUGAGGCACAGAAUAUGGGAUCUGUGGGGAACUGAGCCACAGCAUAUGGGAUCUAUGGGGGAACUGAGGGACAGAAUAUGAGAUCUAUGGGGGAAACUGAGGCACAGCGUAUGGGAUC
ensembl:lncRNA